AACUUUUAAAUUUUUAAUCCCAUUUGAGUCAUGUUGUUAAAUAGGUUAAUAGAAUUUUUUACGACGUUAAUGUUCCGUUUAUCUGCUCUGUUAGAACAAAACAAUGUCGUUUAUUACAGAGACAAACGACGUCGUUUUAUCUGUUGAAACAAAUUUUAAACCCUAAAUCCCCAAAUCGAUUUCAUUAUCUCAAAUCCUAUAGAGGCCGAAUCGAUUUGAAUCCCAUCUGGUGAGGAGACAAACAAUGUUCCUCAGCCCAAAUCAAAUCGAAA
rnacentral:sRNA from 1 species